rnacentral:rRNA from 1 species
UACGUAGGGUGCAAGCGUUGUCCGGAAUUAUUGGGCGUAAAGAGCUCGUAGGCGGUUUGUCGCGUCUGCUGUGAAACCCGAGGCUCAACCUCGGGCCUGCAGUGGGUACGGGCAGACUAGAGUGCGGUAGGGGAGAUUGGAAUUCCUGGUGUAGCGGUGAAAUGCGUAGAUAUCAAGAGGAACACCUGCGGCGAAGGCGGGUUGCUGGGCCGACACUGACGCUGAGGCGCGAAAGCUAGGGGAGCGAACGGG